GGCAGCAGUGGGGAAUUUUGCGCAAUGGGCGAAAGCCUGACGCAGCAACGCCGCGUGGAGGAUGAAGGCCCUCGGGUCGUAAACUCCUGUCAGCGGGGACGAAUGCUUCGCAAGAAGUUUGACUGUACCCGUUGAGGAAGCCACGGCUAACUCCGUGCCAGCAGCCGCGGUAAUACGGAGGUGGCAAGCGUUGUUCGGAAUUACUGGGCGUAAAGGGCGCGUAGGCGGCUUGGCAAGUCAGAUGUGAAAGCCCCGGGCUUAACCCGGGAAUUGCAUCUGAAACUGCAUUGCUUGAGUCCUGGAGGGGAUAGUGGAAUUCCCAGUGUAGCGGUGAAAUGCGUAGAUAUUGGGAGGAACACCUGCGGCGAAGGCGGCUAUCUGGACAGUGACUGACGCUGAUGCGCGAAAGCUAGGGGAGCGAACGGGAUUAGAUACCCCGGUAGUCCUAGCCGUAAACGAUGGGCACUUGGUGUUGGGGGUAUUGAGUCCCUCGGUGCCGGAGUUAACACGUUAAGUGCCCCGCCUGGGGAGUACGGUCGCAAGACUGAAACUCAAAUGAAUUGACGG
rnacentral:rRNA from 1 species